rnacentral:tRNA from 1 species
AACUAUAUAGUCUAAGUAGGAUAAUAAAUUGCAAGUUUAAAGGUAAAUUAAUUUUAUAGUUU